rnacentral:rRNA from 1 species
UACGUAGGGGGCAAGCGUUGUCCGGAAUUAUUGGGCGUAAAGAGCGCGUAGGCGGUCCGAUAAGUCGGCUGUGAAAGUCAGGGGCUCAACCCUUGGAAGCCGGCCGAUACUGUCGGACUAGAGUCCGGAAGAGGCAAGUGGAAUUCCCGGUGUAGCGGUGAAAUGCGCAGAUAUCGGGAAGAACACCCGUGGCGAAGGCGGCUCUCUGGGACGGUACUGACGCUGAGACGCGAAAGCGUGGGGAGCGAACAGG